GAUGAAGAACGUAGCGAAAUGCGAUACGUAAUGUGAAUUGCAGAAUUCAGUGAAUCAUCGAGUCUUUGAACGCACAUUGCGCCCUCUGGUAUUCCGGAGGGCAUGCCUGUCCGAGCGUCAUUGCUGCCCUCAAGCACGGCUUGUGUGUUAGGCCCCGUCCUCCGCUCGCGGGGGACGGGCCUGAAAGGCAGCGGCGGCACCGCGUCCGGUCCUCGAGCGUAUGGGGCUUUGUCACCCGCUCUGUAGGCCCGGCCGGCGCCUGCCGAUCAACCACACUUUUAUUCAGGUUGACCUCGGAUCAGGUAGGGAUACCCGCUGAACUUAAGCAUAUCAUAAGCGGAGGA
rnacentral:misc_RNA from 1 species